rnacentral:rRNA from 1 species
UAGGGAAUCUUCCACAAUGGGCGCAAGCCUGAUGGAGCGACGCCGCGUGAGUGAAGAAGGUCUUCGGAUCGUAAAACUCUGUUGUUAGAGAAGAACAUGCAGGAGAGUAACUGUUCUUGUAUUGACGGUAUCUAACCAGAAAGCCACGGCUAACUACGUGCCAG